UUGAUUUGUAGACCAAAAAACAAGGGUGGUCUUGGUAUUUUGAACCUGGGUGUUCAAAACGUGGCUUUGCUUCUCAAGCAUGCUAGUAACUUUCUCAACAGGAAAGACCUACCUUGGGUGUCCUUAAUUUGGGACUCAUAUUAUCAUGAUGGCAUGCCCCAGGGAACAACUUCUUGUGGCUCUUUUUGGUGGAAGGAUAUUUGUAAGGUCUUGCAGAAUUUUAGGGACUGCUCCUGGGUGCAGGUCAAUGCUGGGGACACUGCUCUCUUUUGGUCUGAUAACUGGAAUCUUGGCAAUGAAGUUUCUAGCUUGCAGUCUAGAUUCCCAAGAUUAUUCUCUUUUGCCAAGGAUCCAUGGAUUUCUGUUAAGGCCAUCUUCAAUUCAAUAGACUUGUACCAACACUUUCACCUACCUUUGUCUGCUCAAGCUUUUGAUGAGCUAAACUUGAUAAGAAAUAUGUUGGUCUCCCAUACA
rnacentral:rRNA from 1 species